UGCAGGGCUGUUUGCCGGGUUGCUCCGGGCCGGGCAACGCCGGUGAACGCACCGAACGUACCGCCGCGCGUUGUGCGCCGGGAUGCGCGCGUCCGCAAUUGCGCGAGAGCAGACAGCUUUAUUGACCCCGGGGCCUCGCUGUUGAAAUUGAGGAGAACUAAUGAGUGUGCGCCGGCGGGUGCGCACGCAUUCGCGUGCAAGCACGCGGGUUCGUGCGUGCGGGUGCGCGUUCGAGGGGCACAAGCCUGGAGUGGGGUGCCGCUGGCGCAUUGGGGCCUUUGUGGCGCUGUGUGAAGCGGGGUCGACCUUGUGGGGCUCUCCUCCGGGGCGCGGACAAAGCCGGUGCAGGAUUAUCAACCCCGGGACAAAGUGUGUGAUUACCAUGAGAAAACAGCCAGCUCCAGCCUCAUAGCCAAGGACUGCCGGGCCUGCUGGAGAGACGCAUUUGUGUCCCGUCCCGAGGUGACAACGCCAAACAGAGCCAUUUUAAGCCCCCGAUCAGUGGAUUUCCCACCUCUUCACUGAAGAGUCCCCCUGUCUGUCCACCCUGGAUUAAAGGGAUGAGCUCAUGCUCCCCCGUCUCCUCAUGCAGCCCUCUGUCUCCUCCGAGGAGCAUGAGAAGAAGACGUCUUUUGUCGGCGAGAGGCAACGCACUCGAGUAGAGACGGCGCGUUUGGGCCAAGAGGGGACGCGGCGGAGGCGACGCCGAGCAGCAGCUGUGCACAUAGCGGCGAGCUGGUCGGGAGGAGCCGCGUUACGUAACCUCGCUGAGGACGGAGCCUUUCCCUUUGUUUGACGUCAUAGCUUGGGAGGGCGACAUGUCACAGAUGUAGGGGGACGGUGAGCCUGUCACGUGUUGCUUUGUCUGGGCCUUCACCACAACAUACCUCCACGAGUUCCCCUAGCAACUGCCUCUGCUCUCGACCACCCUACUGUAUCUGGAGGAAACGGCAGCAUUCUUCCUCUUGGCCACUAUUCUCCAGUGACUCCACAAAAGGUCACUUUGACUUUUAAUUUCUCUCCUUUAGCUAUGAUUCAUGAUUUGCGCUCUUAUGUGGGCCAGUUAAUGUUUAUAUUUGACUUCUGGAAGAACUAAAAUAAAUUGCGCUCUGAUUGGACACUCAGUUAUUUAUCUAUGUAGCGAUGGCUGCCAAAAAUGCUAUUCGCUGAAGCAGGAGUUGGUGAAUGUCACAGGAGAGAAAUGAAUCCUGGUGCGCCGCUCUAUAAAUAUUUGACUCUCCUUCCGCGAGCACCUCGCCACGAGGAGAGGCUCCUCUCCUAUUGCUGCUCUCCUCACCAGAGGGAACAGGGUGGCAAGGCGCCUGAUUAAUUGGCUUAAAGAGAACAUAGAUCACGUUUUUUGGGAGACCUAGAAAAAAGUUUGGGGCCCAUCCUCUGUAUCCUACAGAAGCUCUUAUUCAGCAGUAAAUCUGAGCCUGUUAUCAGUGAAACAUUACGCUGCUAAAACCUGCCCCGCUUCUUCCCACAUUCUUUUGCAGCCGCUCUCUUUUUUUUUUUUAACUGAGCCACAUGGCUGCAGAAACCUCCCUCUGUAGCUGGUGCCCUCAUCUCUAGAUGGAGCUGCUGUAUAAAGGGAAAUAUGGGCAUGUUUACCUUAAUCUUUUCUGAUUGAAUCGUUAAAUACCUGAGUAAACCUGUGCUAAAUCUGUGAAGCCUCGUCCUUUGGUGAUACUUAUAUAUCUGACAUACAUCUUUUUUUCCUAGGACUAGAUUUUUUUUGCAGAAACUUUGGAACAUACAACCCAGAUAAACUGCUGCAAUUCGGGGCAAUGAGCAAGUCGUCCGUAUGAACUUUUAUUUUACAUAAAUCAUCGCAAAUUCUGCUCUGGAGGAGGAUGGCUUUUACCCCAGUGUGUGCACAGUGGGCUCACAC